rnacentral:rRNA from 1 species
CCGUAACUGGUCUGAGAGGAUGAUCAGUCACACUGGAACUGAGACACGGUCCAGACUCCUACGGGAGGCAGCAGUGGGGAAUAUUGGACAAUGGGCGAAAGCCUGAUCCAGCCAUGCCGCGUGUGUGAAGAAGGUCUUCGGAUUGUAAAGCACUUUAAGUUGGGAGGAAGGGCAGUAAGUUAAUACCUUGCUGUUUUGACGUUACCAACAGAAUAAGCACCGGCUAACUUCGUGCCAGCAGCCGCGGUAAUACGAAGGGUGCAAGCGUUAAUCGGAAUUACUGGGCGUAAAGCGCGCGUGGUGGUUCGUUAAGUUGGAUGUGAAAGCCCCGGGCUCAACCUGGGAACUGCAUCCAAAACUGGCGAGCUAGAGUAUGGCAGAGGGUGGUGGAAUUUCCUGUGUAGCGGUGAAAUGCGUAGAUAUAGGAAGGAACACCAGUGGCGAAGGCGACCACCUGGGCUAAUACUGACACUGAGGUGCGAAAGCGUGGGGAGCAAACAGGAUUAGAUACCC